AAUUAUAUGCNCAAGUCAAGGGCUAAGCCAUGCACGUCUAAGAACGUCGGCUCGCCCGUCAUUCUGUGGAAGGCUCAUUAAACGAGUUAGAAACUCACUUAACGUUACCCCUAGGGAUAACACUGCUAACUGUAGUACUAAUACCUAAAGUACGCAUAUCGUAGAUAUGCAUCUAAUGCUCACAGCCCUAGGCUUGUGUCUGAACACAGAGCAUUCAAGAGGAUUCGUCCUCUAGAAACCGUUACCAUAGCGGUCAAAUAGUAGUCUCACUUCUCUAUCAGCUAGACGGUUAGUUAAGGUCUAAUCAUGGCAACAACGGAUACGGGGAAUCAGUGUUCGAUUCCGGAGAGGGAGCCUGACAAACGGCUACCAUAUCUAAGGACAGCAGCAGGCGCGUAAAUUACCCAAUCAUAACACCUCAUGGAGGUAGCGACAACCUAUAGUAACCUCCUGGAUUAAUUCUAGGAGGGUACUACAUUAGUAGUUUGCAAUGUGUCCACUGUAAACAACUGAACGAGUAACUAAUU
rnacentral:rRNA from 1 species